GUGCCAGCAGCCGCGGUAAUACCGGCAGCUCGAGUGAUGACCGAUUUUAUUGGGCCUAAAGCGUCCGUAGCUGGCCACGCAAGUCCAUCGGGAAAUCCACCUGCCCAACAGGUGGGCGCCCGGUAGAAACUGCGUGGCUUGGGACCGGAAGAUCCAAGGGGUACGUCCGGGGUAGGAGUGAAAUCCUGUAAUCCUGGACGGACCGCCGAUGGCGAAAGCACCUUGGAAGGACGGAUCCGACAGUGAGGGACGAAAGCUAGGGUCUCGAACCGGAUUAGAUACCCUCGUAGUCC
rnacentral:rRNA from 1 species